rnacentral:rRNA from 1 species
UGGGGAAUAUUGGACAAUGGGCGAAAGCCUGAUCCAGCCAUGCCGCGUGAGUGACGAAGGCCUUAGGGUUGUAAAGCUCUUUUGGCGGGGAAGAUAAUGACGGUACCCGCAGAAUAAGCUCCGGCUAACUUCGUGCCAGCAGCCGCGGUAAUACGAAGGGAGCUAGCGUUGUUCGGAAUCACUGGGCGUAAAGCGCACGUAGGCGGAUUGUUUAGUCAGGGGUGAAAUCCCGGGGCUCAACCUCGGAACUGCCUUUGAUACUGGCAAUCUCGAGUCCGAUAGAGGUGGGUGGAAUUCCUAGUGUAGAGGUGAAAUUCGUAGAUAUUGGGAAGAACACCAGUGGCGAAGGCGGCUAACUGGUCCGGUACUGACGCUGAGGUGCGAAAGCGUGGGGAGCAAACAGGAUUAGAUACCCCUGUAGUCCCUGAGCGGGCUGGCAAGGCGCAU